rnacentral:rRNA from 1 species
AGAGUUUGAUCAUGGCUCAGAUUGAACGCUGGCGGCAGGCCUAACACAUGCAAGUCGAACGGUAACAGGAAGCAGCUUGCUGCUUUGCUGACGAGUGGCGGACGGGUGAGUAAUGUCUGGGAAACUGCCUGAUGGAGGGGGAUAACUACUGGAAACGGUAGCUAAUACCGCAUAACGUCGCAAGACCAAAGAGGGGGACCUUAGGGCCUCUUGCCAUCGGAUGUGCCCAGAUGGGAUUAGCUAGUAGGUGGGGUAACGGCUCACCUAGGCGACGAUCCCUAGCUGGUCUGAGAGGAUGACCAGCCACACUGGAACUGAGACACGGUCCAGACUCCUACGGGAGGCAGCAGUGGGGAAUAUUGCACAAUGGGCGCAAGCCUGAUGCAGCCAUGCCGCGUGUAUGAAGAAGGCCUUCGGGUUGUAAAGUACUUUCAGCGGGGAGGAAGGGAGUAAAGUUAAUACCUUUGCUCAUUGACGUUACCCGCAGAAGAAGCACCGGCUAACUCCGUGCCAGCAGCCGCGGUAAUACGGAGGGUGCAAGCGUUAAUCGGAAUUACUGGGCGUAAAGCGCACGCAGGCGGUUUGUUAAGUCAGAUGUGAAAUCCCCGGGCUCAACCUGGGAACUGCAUCUGAUACUGGCAAGCUUGAGUCUCGUAGAGGGGGGUAGAAUUCCAGGUGUAGCGGUGAAAUGCGUAGAGAUCUGGAGGAAUACCGGUGGCGAAGGCGGCCCCCUGGACGAAGACUGACGCUCAGGUGCGAAAGCGUGGGGAGCAAACAGGAUUAGAUACCCUGGUAGUCCACGCCGUAAACGAUGUCGACUUGGAGGUUGUGCCCUUGAGGCGUGGCUUCCGGAGCUAACGCGUUAAGUCGACCGCCUGGGGAGUACGGCCGCAAGGUUAAAACUCAAAUGAAUUGACGGGGGCCCGCACAAGCGGUGGAGCAUGUGGUUUAAUUCGAUGCAACGCGAAGAACCUUACCUGGUCUUGACAUCCACGGAAGUUUUCAGAGAUGAGAAUGUGCCUUCGGGAACCGUGAGACAGGUGCUGCAUGGCUGUCGUCAGCUCGUGUUGUGAAAUGUUGGGUUAAGUC